AGCACCCGUGUGGGCUCAUGGGCCCCGACGAGACGCGCCGUACCGGGGUGAAGGCAAAGACGACGCACC
rnacentral:ncRNA from 1 species